rnacentral:lncRNA from 1 species
UAGAGACCGCCCGCCUGCCGGCGACCGACUGCCUGCCCGCUGCCCGCACGAUUGGGCAGCUAGAGACCACCCGCCCGCAGGCGACCACCCGCGGCCCCCGCAACUGGGCGGCUGGAGACCGCCCGCCCGCCCGCCGGCGACCGCGCGGCUAGACCCCGAGGUGCGGCCCAGAAGGUAUGGCACAGAGACUCUAGGAAGAGGUCUAUAGCCAGGCCUUCAUGAAGUAGCCAACCGGGAGCUGAAACCAACCAGAGACAGUCCAGUCCCACCCCCCCUUCGAACACCCCAGCAAGGAGCCUGGGACCAGCCAUAGCAGAGAGGUGACGUCACUGGAGCUUGGCGGUCGGAAUUCCUUCCCAGCGGAAUCCACUUUAGCAGGCAUAGUCUACCAACACAAAGGAGAGACAACAGAGAUAUACAAAAUCAAAACAAAUCUAUAGGAGAGAGCAGAAACACAGCAAUCAAAUAGAGCUGGAAAGUAACGUGAACAACAUGAAAAAACAAGGGAAAAAGGGAGUACAGACAAUGCAGGACAACUUAAAUCUACAGGAGGACCUAGAAGCAUCAGAAACAUGGAUAGGGAAAGAACUCAAGGCAUACCUAACUCAGAUGGAAAGGAAUAUUAGAGAAGACAUGAGACAGCAAGUCCAAGCAAUGAAAGUAUAUUUUGAAAACAAAUUAAACAAACAAAUUCAAAUGGCAAAGAACGAGCUUUACUGGGAGAUAGAGAUCUUAAAAAAAAAUCAAACAGUAAUCCUAGAAAUGCAGGAAACUAUAAACCAAAUUAAAAACUCAAACGAGAAUAUUACAAAUAGACUAGAUCAAGUAGAAGUCAGAACAUCAGAUAAUGAAGACAAAGUUUAUCUACUUGAAAAGAAUAUAGUCAACACAGAAAAGAUGCUUAAAUCUCACGAGCAAUCUAUUCAAGAGAUAUGGGAUGUCAUAAAAAAACCAAAUUUGAGAGUCAUCGGGAUAGAAGAAGGCAUAGAGAUUCAAACCAAAGGAAUGGACAACCUAUUAAAUGAAAUAAUUCUAGAAAACUUCCCAGAGAUGAAAGAUGGAAUGGAUUGCCAAAUCCUGGAAGCCUACAGGACCCCAAACAUUCAAAACCGUAAUAGACCAACUCCAAGACAUAUAAUUAUGAAGAUAGCCAACAUACAGAACAAGGAGAGAAUAUUAAAAGCUACGAGAGAAAGGAGGCAGAUUACAUUCAGGGGUAAACCAAUUAGGUUAACGACUGAUUUUUCAUCACAGACUUUGAAAGCGAGAAGAUCCUGGAACAAUGUAUUUCAAACGCUGAAAAAUAAUGGAUUCCAACCAAGAAUACUGUAUCCAGCAAAAUUAAGCUUCAGAUUUGACAAUGAAAUUAAAAUCUUUCACGAUAAACAAAAGCUAAAAGAAUUCGCAGCCAGAAAACCAGCACUGCAAAGCAUUUUGAGCAAAAUACUACAAGAAGAGGAAUUGAAAAAUAGCGCCCAAAACUAAC